GUAGGCGUUUAGGCCUAUGGGGAGAGAUGUGGGUUGCUUUAAACACAAUACCAUGAAAAAGGAGGUGAAAAACUUCAGUCUGAUCUGUUCAAUAAAUCGAAUACCCUACUUUAAAGUAUUGAUUUGCUGGACUUUCUCCACCAGGUAUCCACUAAGUAAUAUUUCUUUUAUGCUAUGCCAUUUUAAAGCUUAAAUGAGGGCAGGGUGGGAACCAAUACUAAAGGCAGCCGGAGAUAUAGGCUCUUUUUAUGGCGGGUUUUAGCUGCAGUAGCUUAUUGUGUGCACAGACAAGCCGAGUGCGACUAGGAGACACCACCUACAUGGGCUUCGUGAACUUCAAUUAGACCUGAAGUCACGGGUAAAGGGAGAUUAAACAGAGCCUCCAGCUUCGUCUAACAUAUCUGGUGACACCGUCGUCAGCUGCGAAGAUCAGACUGUGCAACGAUAGAAACAAUUAAUAUUCUUAUAAUAAAUAUGAAGAGCAUUCAAUACGCGUUCAGUUGAAUGUUGUUCAGUUGUUCAAUACGCGUUCAGUUGAAGCUGUUAGAAUGUUGUAUUGGAGUAAAGUAGAAUAAAAACCAGUAUAUUAUUUAGCCUGGGCUAUACAUGCACCGAAAAUGCACUUUUACACGACUCUAAAACACGUCGCAAAUAUUGAUCACUGAAAUUUUCUCAAAUUUUAAAACCAAAUGGAAUUAUGAACACAAUUAUUAAUGUUCAUAUUAUACCCAAAAUACUCAUUGGUGAUACAUUUGGCAUACCGAUUGAAUUAGUUUAAUGUCUCCACCAAUUUCUUUGUGCCUGCAAAUCCAUUUAAGAAUACCUGAAAUCCUUCAAACCGGAUCCUGAAUAUACAUAUGAUAUCAAUUUAUUGUCUACUCAGGUGAAAGUUGACAGGAGCUAGAUAGACGCGAUAGCUAAGUGUCCCAGUUUUUGGACUGUUUCUUGUAAUUCCAUAAUUACUUUUUUUUUUUUACAAAGAAUGCGCGCUGGAGUAUAUAUUCUUUGUCUUUAUAUUUCUUUCUUUUUCCUUUUUAAGUACAGUAAUAACUGACUGUUAUUAAUUUGGGCAAAUAUAUAAAUAGAAUGUUUAUAAGCAAAUGUCACUCGCGGAAUUAGUUAUUUCUAAAUGGGUUGUGAAAAGCAGAAGAAAUAAUAAUAAUAAUAAUAAUAAUAAUAAUAAUAAUAAUAAUAAUAAUAAUAAUAAUAAUAAUAAUCUUUAUAAAAGCAUUAUUGUGUAUCAGCUACAAUUCAAACAUAGUACAUUUGUACAACAGGUGAAAAAAACAACCAGCCAGUAACAAAAGCUUUCUAAAAAUGUUAAAAUCUAAGGUUGAAAUGAAUCAUAUCAAAUAAUGAACACUUUUAAUCAAUAUAUAAAGUAAACUCAUAUAAUAUUACUAUAUAACAAUAAACUCAAUAUUCUUUCUGAAUGUUGUUUCACUGAUGAUUAAAAUAAUGCUACCAUUUGAACGAAAAGUGUAAAUUCCUACUUCAACUAAUGCUAUUUUUUUAUAGGAAAAUACGUAACAACGUUUAAUUUAGCUUCUAAAUAGCUUUUGACAUUACAUCUAAAAGAUUUUUUUUUUUAAUUAAGUGUGAUCA
ensembl:lncRNA